rnacentral:rRNA from 1 species
CCUACGGGAGGCAGCAGUGGGGAAUUUUCCGCAAUGGGCGAAAGCCUGACGGAGCAAUACCGCGUGAGGGAGGAAGGCUCUUGGGUUGUAAACCUCUUUUUUCAGGGAAGAUAAUGACGGUACCUGAGGAAUAAGCAUCGGCUAACUCCGUGCCAGCAGCCGCGGUAAUACGGAGGAUGCAAGCGUUAUCCGGAAUGAUUGGGCGUAAAGCGUCCGCAGGUGGUUUUAAAAGUCUGUUGUUAAAGCGUGAGGCUUAACCUCAUAAGGGCAAUGGAAACUGUAAGACUAGAGUACGUUCGGGGCAAGGGGAAUUCCCAGUGUAGCGGUGAAAUGCGUAGAGAUUGGGAAGAACACCGGUGGCGAAAGCGCCUUGCUAGGCCGUAACUGACACUGAGGGACGAAAGCUAGGGGAGCGAAUGGGAUUAGAUACCCCAGUAGUCCUAGCCGUAAACGAUGGAUACUAGGCGUUGUCUGUAUCGACCCGGACAGUGCCGUAGCUAACGCGUUAAGUAUCCCGCCUGGGAGUCGCACGCAAGUGUGAACACAAGAAGUAGACGCGUGAGACGNGCCGACGGAACGACGACGAGGGAGUAGG